CUGUGACGCAGCCACACCUGAACGCCAGGGAAGCAAAGCUCUCUUCCCAACGCUCCCUCCUGAGAGGCGAUGAGGGUCGUGGCAGCACUGCUGUUUCCUCCUUUACUUGGCCGCUAGGAAGCUCAAAGCCAGAUUUGAAGAAGCCAGAAGGUAUACAGACUGAGCAUAGGCAGCUACUCCACACUAUCCUCAGGGACCUGGGCUCCACUUUGUCCUACUCUACUUUCCUUCAGGUGUGCCCUUUGUCCUUAUCCUCACAAGGUAGCUGCUGAAUUCCAUCCAUCACAUCCAAAUCCCAGGCAGAAGAGAAAAGAAUUACAGCAAAAUGAGUUUCCCAAAGGCCCCUCCCAGCAACUUCUGCUUAGAACUCUGACUAGAACUGUUUCCCAUGACUACUCCUAGCCACAAGGGGAGCUGAGCAGUGUAGUUGUUGACCUGGGCACAGUGCAGCUCUGAACAAAACCGAAGUCCUAUACUGAACAAAGGGGAGAUGAGUAUGGGUUAGGUAAACGGCAGUACCCACGGUGGUUGUCUAUAUUUUUCUCCUCCAUUCGGUAUGGAAUGAGGAAACAUACAGACACUGGAAAGGAGCAUGAAGCCCUGCUGUGUCCAGGGUGGCUGUGAGCUCUGUCUGUCUCACCUGCGGCUUUGUCUCCAGUUCCUUGAAAAGGAACCAAGUGCCUCUUGCAUGGAGGAGCAGUAUCCCCUUUUCACAGGAAAGAAGACAGCUCUUCUCCAGAACUCGGAGAACAUCGAACCACAGAGUUAUUGGGCUUAGGUGACUGCUCCACAGAGGAGGAGACGUGGCCCAGAGACAUCAGUGACCUGCCCAAGAGCACACAGCAAAUUCACGGCAAAGACUAGAUUGUGGAUCUCUGGGGACGCAUUUCAGAUGGAGCAGCACUCAGCCCUGGGGGCUGCCUGAGGCGGGGCCUGCGUUCCCCGAGACCCCGAGGUCCCCUGUGCGCGCAGCCUGAGACGCGGGCUGCGGAGGGGAGGCUCGCGUCAGCGCUGAGUCAGGCGGCUGCUGUCAGGCCAGGCGAAUGGGGAAAAUAAUUACAAACUUUGAACCAAAUUCAGGGGGAAACUGGCAAACAAUGAGCUUGAGAGGCGGCGAGAAUUGCUUUCCACUGAACACCCAUUUCCUCAGGUCAGAAGCCUUUUGGGCGGAUGGUUUCCCAGUGGACCGUGAAGAACGUGGCCCAUAGACGCAAUCCCUUAGCAGGUCCGAGGGACCCACGCGGGCGCCCUGGCAAGUGCCACCAGAGUCACAGUGGUGUCCGCCCCCAGAGAGGACUCAAAGUCCUGCCUGGAAAUUAUUUACGGCUCACAGAACAGCGUCCAGACCCUGACAGCUCAGGAAUGAGCUCAGAAAUUAACGCUUCGACAUUAUCAGGGUCAUCCAUCUCUCUGGAUUCUUUACCCCGUGUUCUUUUCCUCUUUUUUUU
rnacentral:lncRNA from 1 species